CGCCACCAAGAUUUAGGAUGCCCACCUUUCUCCACACUAAAAAGUAUUGCAUGAGAUUUCUCCAUGCCAUAAGAGUGUUUUGCCCUCCCUUUCUCACAUCCAAAUAUGGGUAAAAUCUGAUCAUAAAAGGUAAGUUUAAAUUUGAUUUGAAUUGGUUACAAUAUAUGGAUAAUGUUUGACCAUAUCCAAAUCUUGCCGCCCACUUCCUUUAUUCUCUUUCUUUUAUGCGAUAAAAGGAGAAAGUUUUCAAUGUGGGAAAUUAGAUAGAGAUCUGAUUUACCAUGA
rnacentral:lncRNA from 1 species